rnacentral:rRNA from 1 species
AAUUCUAGAGCUAAUACAUGCUAAAAAUCUCGACUUCGGAAGGGAUGUAUUUAUUAGAUAAAAAACCAAUGCCCUUCGGGGCUCCCUGGUGAUUCAUAAUAACUUAACGAAUCGCAUGGCCUUGUGCCGGCGAUGGUUCAUUCAAAUUUCUGCCCUAUCAACUUUCGAUGGUAGGAUAGUGGCCUACCAUGGUAUCAACGGGUAACGGGGAAUUAGGGUUCUAUUCCGGAGAGGGAGCCUGAGAAACGGCUACCACAUCCAAGGAAGGCAGCAGGCGCGCAAAUUACCCAAUCCCGACACGGGGAGGUAGUGACAAUAAAUACUGAUACAGGGCUCUUUUGGGUCUUGUAAUUGGAAUGAGUACAAUUUAAAUCCCUUAACGAGGAACAAUUGGAGGGCAAGUCUGGUGCCAGCAGCCGCGGUAAUUCCAGCUCCAAUAGCGUAUAUUAAAGUUGUUGCAGUUAAAAAGCUCGUAGUUGAACCUUGGGCCUGGCUGGCCGGUCCGCCUCACCGCGUGCACUGGUCCGGCCGGGCCUUUCCUUCUGGGGAGCCGCAUGCCCUUCACUGGGUGUGUCGGGGAACCAGGACUUUUACUUUGAAAAAAUUAGAGUGUUCAAAGCAGGCCUAUGCUCGAAUACAUUAGCAUGGAAUAAUAGAAUAGGACGUGUGGUUCUAUUUUGUUGGUUUCUAGGACCGCCGUAAUGAUUAAUAGGGAUAGUCGGGGCAAUCAGUAUUGCGUUGUCAGAGGUGAAAUUCUUGGAUUUACGCAAGACUAACUACUGCGAAAGCAUUUUGCAAGGAUGUUUUCAUUAAUCAGUGAACGAAAGUUAGGGGAUCGAAGACGAUCAGAUACCGUCGUAGUCUUAACCAUAAACUAUGCCGACUAGGGAUCGGGCGAUGUUAUCUUUUUGACUCGCUCGGCACCUCACGAGAA